rnacentral:lncRNA from 1 species
CAGCACCCCUGCCUCAUUAACCAGAUGGCUGGGAUAAGACUCUUGAUUUUGAAAAUUCAACAACCAGAGUUCAGCUAUUUGCAGUGAUUUGCAGUCAUUUGUCACUAUCAAAAAGGAAAAUAACUAAAAUGUGGUGUGUUGGCAUUAGUUACUUACUAAUGAGCAAGAUCAGCACCUGCAUUUCAGCUUGGCUCUGUCAUUUUCUAUUUAUUGGAAGAAUGGUGUUGUGGUUAAGUGUGUGGUGUGUAGAGGAAGACUAUUUGUUUUUUUGUCUUGUUUUGUUUUUAUUGAAAUAUAGCAUGCAUACUGAAAAAUGCACAAAUCAUAUGUGCAGAGCUCACUGAAUUUCACAGAAUGAAUACACCCAUGCAAUAGCACUCAGAUCAAGAGACAGAACAUUAGCAGCACCCCCAGAAGGACCACCCCCAGGAUCCCUUCCAGUAACCACACCCCCUCCAGUAGAAACUAUUAUCCUUACUUCUAACAUCACAGAUUACUUUUGCUUGGUUUUGUAACUUAUAUAAAUGAAAUCACACCAUAUCUACUCUUCGUGAUUAUUUUCACUCAACAUUAUGUUUGUGAUAUCCAUUCGUAUUGUUACAAUAGUUGUUGUUGGUUAACUCUCAUUGCUGUAUAGUAUUACAUUGUGUAAAUAUACCAAAAUUUAUUUAUUCAAUUCAUUGUACUAUUCAUGGUUAUUAGUUUGCAAUUAUUGGCAAUUAUGAAUAAUGCUGCUAUAACCAUUUCUUUAUAUUCUUUGUAGUGAACAUGCAUGUAUUUCUGUUGUUAUAUAUUUAGGAAUGAAACUGCUGUGUCAUUUUGUGUGCAUAUAUUCAAAUAUAAUAGUUGUUGCCAAACACUUUUUCAAAGUGGUUGUACCACUUUGCAUUUCCACCAGCAGUGUAUGAGUGUUCUAGUUGCUCUAAAUUCUCACCAACACUUGGCAUUUUGGUAUUUUUUAUUUUAGCCAAUGUGGUGAUCAUGUGGUGACCUCUCAUUAUGGUUUCCUUUUGCAUUUCUCUGAUGACUAAUGAAAUUGAGAAUCUUUUCAAUAUAUGUUGACUGGCCAUUGUACAUCUUGUUUUGUUUGUCUUUUAGAUGUCUUUUGUCAUUGAUUUGUAAGGGCUCUUUAUGUAUUCUGGAUAUGAAUCUUUUGUCAAAUAUAUGCAUUGCAAAUAUAUACUUUUUUACUUAUUGAUAUCUUUAAUUUGUUUUAAGAAAAUUUUUAAUUUUUAUGGAAAUUUUAUAGAAAUGCUGAAAAUCAAACGUUAUCUGCAGUGGUAACAGUCUGACUUCUAAACUGCUAUAUGUAAUAGAAGAACAAUACAUAAUUGUUGUAUAUAUUUAUGAGGUACAUGUAAUAUUUUGAUACAAGCAUAAAAUAUGUAAUGAUUGUUGAUCUCUUUUAAUGAACAGAAUUCCUUAAUCAUAA